rnacentral:rRNA from 1 species
UGGGGAAUAUUGGGCAAUGGGCGCAAGCCUGACCCAGCAACGCCGCGUGGAGGAAGAAGGCUUUCGGGUUGUAAACUUCUUUUCUGAGGGACGAAGAAAGUGACGGUACCUCAGGAAUAAGCCACGGUUAACUACGUGCCAGCAGCCGCGGUAAUACGUAGGUGGCAAGCGUUAUCCGGAUUUAUUGGGUGUAAAGGGCGUGUAGGCGGGAAUGCAAGUCAGAUGUGAAAACUAUGGGCUCAACCCAUAGCCUGCAUUUGAAACUGUAUUUCUUGAGUGCUGGAGAGGCAAUCGGAAUUCCGUGUGUAGCGGUGAAAUGCGUAGAUAUACGGAGGAACACCAGUGGCGAAGGCGGAUUGCUGGACAGUAACUGACGCUGAGGCGCGAAAGCGUGGGGAGCAAACAGGAUUAGAUACCC